rnacentral:ncRNA from 2 species
UUGAAAAAUCCGAGAGAGCUCUUCCGGUAGAACGGAAGCGCCGAAGGGGCAAGGAAUCAUCUGAAACUCUCAGGCACAGGAAUCGGGUUUGGACA